CGGGGCAUUGCUCCGGCAGCGUAAAUAAAAUCAGUUUGCAAUUUUUUUCAUCACCUAGAACACCAGCCUCAUUGCUCCUGCUACCUUCGAGCCACCAGCACCAGCCAGCCAAUGCUCCCUCCUCAGAGUGCUGCUGGAAAGAAAUCCUGUAAAAUUCUUGGCAUGGUUUCCAAUGCUGACAUCUUAUAUAAUUUCCAUGGGAAUUGCCACAAGCUGGAUGAUGAAUACAGUUCUGAAAUUGUGAUACUCAACUGAAAGAGGCUGUGAGAUGGAGGAAGUUCACUGGGGAGUGCUCUUGGGAUCAACUUUUGUAAAGCACUGAAGGAAGCAGAACUGAGCAGGUGAUUCGGCUGCACCAGAUACCUUAGCUGAUCCCACAGGACGUUCUGGAGCUGGGAUGGUCCUUCAGAGUUGUCUCGAAUCAAGACAAGGAAUGUUUGCCCCUUUUAGAUUCUCACUGAUGAGUCAUUAGAUUUGGGCUGUGCCAGAAAGAGGGUGGAACUGGGGCAAGACAGUUCCCAGGCCAAGAAAAUUACUAGAGAGCAACACAGCUGCUGUCCAUCUGCCAUCAACACUCCCAGGACCGGGGGCAAGGGGUGCGUCCAUCCUGAAGCGGGGCUCUGGACAGCAAACCCCAGCAUCCACCACAUGGUGUGAGACCAUUCCACAUAUUUUUGCCUUAUAUGGCUUUCUUGUAUAUAGUUCUAUUAACAGUAUUAAUCAAGAAGAAGGAGGAGAAGGAAGAGAUGAAAGAGAAAAACAAGAACAAGGAAGAAGAGGGAGGGGAGAACAGAACGUGAUGGGGAAGGAAGGGGAGGAAGUGGAAAAAGAGAAGAAGGAGGGAGAAAAGCAACAUAACAACAACUAAAUGCUUGGUCAUGCAUCUUAAUAUCUGGGAAAAGGGUCAAGGUAAGGCAACUCUUCAUCUUCCUCAGUAAGGAGUUUGAGGGUAAUAUAAAAUUCCGAGGCAAAGUAAAAUAGAACUAUAAGCAUAGGUUUGGAGUUAAGGAUAUGACCAAUAAACAACCAAAAGUAGAACAUUUAAAGAGGAACAUGGGUAAAAACUGAAGAAGUAUUUAAGAGCUUAUAAUCAACAGCAAUAUAGUCUCAGCUCACUACACCAUACACAUAAUCCCAAGGCCCAAAGGCGAACACUUCUAACUUGUUCUUUCGGCAACAUUAUGUUGGCACAUCUAUUUCUUGACUUAUAUGCUCUAUUCAAAAUAUAUUGACUUACCAUUAUGACAUACAAUGACUUAGUACAUUCAGGUCACCUGUUCAGAACUUUAGAGGAGGUCCAAUUUCAGAAUCUCAAAGACAGGAGUAAAACACAUCAAAGUUAAUUCAAAGUUUGUCUACAAUAAAGAUACCCUAGUCAUAGCCCAUGCCAUGAGCCAAGCAACAUACCUUUAAGAAUACUGUAGGAAGAUUGUCAGUUUCACAAGAAUUCUGUCAUGAAUUGACAAUCUGAGCACAAUUGCCUCCCCCUAUUAUGAGACCCUAAUAACAUAACAGUAAAAGAAUUCAAGGUAGAAUUAACCUAUAAAGGGAAAGGGCAGGGGAAAGCAUCAUCGGUACAUGGGAGUUAAGAUCAAUUUCUGGAAGACAAAAAAGGGAUGAAAAUAUAUUUGAAAACAAAAGAGGAAGUCACAAUUCAGAUAUACAAACUAGAGAACAGAGGGGAUGAUUCAAGGCCUGCAUUUGAUUCUCUCUUGCUAGGCCCUGAACCAUGACCACCACAAACAGACAGAAUGAGAAGCAAUAUAGUACAUAUGCCUCAAACAAAACAAAUGAAAUAAAAAAAAAGGCCCUUUUCUUAAGCAAUUGAAAUGUUCACAGAGAACUAAGCUGGCUGUUUGUGAGAAUAAAUCCCCUUCUUCUGGUAUUUGUGGAGGCCUUCAGCUUCUGGCUCACUCCCACUAAAGCAAAACCUAACCAACAAUCAUCAAAUAAAUAAGAAAAACUGCAUCAGAGAAAACAAGUAAAGAAAAAGAGAGAGGAAAAAAAAACUAAUCUGGGGGGCGGGGGGGAAUCAAUUUUCAGGAGGAAAAUAAUGAACCUAAAUCCAGAAGACAGGGGCUUACUUUUUCGUGUCUCCAGAUACUCCAAGAAGAUAUAGUAUCAUUAAAAUAAGAACAAAUGCUACAAACAAAGGAGAACUUGAAAAACUGGAGUUUGGGGAAAUUAAUGCUUCUAAAAUCUGACUUUUAAAAAUCAAUAGAAGUGUUGAAGACAAAGCUGUAGCAAUCUUCAAUAGCAUGGAACAAAAGGCAGGACUAGAAAAUGUGAGGUAAAGAUGAGGGAAAUAAAGGAGAAAUCCAGAAGAUGAUCAUAAGCUGAUUAAGGAAGUGAGGGGAGAGAUAAUAUGGAGAGAUGGGGGAAAUUAUUAAGGGGAUAAUCAUAGAAGAUUGCCCAAAGCUGCAAAAAUACAUGAAUAUUCAAAAGGAAAGGGAGGGAAGUUAAAGGAAAACAGACAUAGACACAUCAAUGUACAGGCCACCACGAGUCCAGGAGUCUGUCGUAGGUGAUACAAAAGGCGAUGCAAGGUGGCAGUGCAAAAUUCCCUGCAAGGUCCUAAGUUAAAAAGGUAUUGAACCUAGAAUUCCACAAACAAAAUAUCAAAAUAUGAUAAUAAAAAGGAGACAUUUUUAACCUCAAAAGACCAAAAAAUUUACCCUGCUUGUAUACAUUCAUGGAGUUAUUUGAGGAGGUACUAAAGAAAAUUAAGCUGAACAGUAAGUUGAAGAAAACGUAGAAUAUAAAAUUCAGCCUCGGAAGGAUAGCUCUGCUGUGGACCUAGAGAAGAAGGAGCACAGGCUGUAAGGGGACUCAGGUGACCACGGGAAGCAUCUGUGCAAGAAGAAAAGUAGAUCCUAUUAUACAGAUCAUCUGUUUAAGAAGCUUGUUAAAUUCAGUCAUGUGGCAAAACGUACAUUUCUUUCUGUUCAAGAUAACAACAAAGGCAAAUAGAAACUCCAGGGGAAAACAGAAACUGUACAACAAAGUCAUAGCACAAAUACGAGGGAAACCAAAAUGCGGUGUGAUGUUUACAUGACCAAAGCAAUGUAUAUGUUUCAAUAAAAAGAAAAUUCACUUGAACCUCACACUUAGAACAUUUUUCUUUGAGUGGGACAGGGAUGUGAUACAGAUUUAUAUUUUAGUCUUUCCAAAUUUUCAUCCUAUUUGGUUUUAUAAUUGUUAUGGACUCAAUGUUUGUGUCCCCUACCUCCAAAAUGUUGAAGCCUAAUCCUCCGUGUGAUAGGAAUUGGUGGUGGGGUUUUGGGGAGGUGAUUAGGUCAUGAAUGUGGAGCCCUCAUGAAUGAGAUUAGUGCCCUUGUGAAAGAGACCUGGAGAGCUCUCUUGUCCCUUCCACUAUGAGAAGACACUGCAAAGAGAUGAUCAUCUACGAACAAGGAAGUGGGCCCAGCAGACACCAAAUCUGCUGGUACCUUGAUCUUGGACUUCUCAGCCUCCACAACUGUGAAAAGCCACCCACUCUAUGGCAUUUUUUGGUACCAUUCCCAAUGGACUGUUCCUCCACCUGGUUCAUUUUUUGGCUCUGUCUCCCAGUCUGAGAGAUUUUUAACAGUGUGACCUUGUAAGUAAGAUCAUCUAGUUUUGAAUUUUAGCUUAAAUACUUACAAGGUGUGCGACCUUCAGUAAGUCACCCCAUGAAUCUUGGUUUCAGUAUUGUAUAUUAGGAAUGAUAACAAUAAUAACCAUCUUCGCCUUUGAAGGGGCAUUGU